rnacentral:rRNA from 1 species
GGGUGACCUCCUGGGAAGUCCUUGUGUUGCAUCCCC